rnacentral:rRNA from 1 species
UACAGAGGUCCCAAGCGUUGUUCGGAUUCACUGGGCGUAAAGGGUGCGUAGGUGGCUUGGUAAGUUUGAUGUGAAAGCUCAGGGCUCAACCCUGAAAUGGCAUUGAAUACUACUGAGCUGGAGGUUUGGAGGGGGGACUGGAAUUCUCGGUGUAGCAGUGAAAUGCGUAGAUAUCGAGAGGAACACCAGUGGCGAAGGCGAGUCCCUGGACAACACCUGACACUGAGGCACGAAAGCUAGGGGAGCAAACAGG